rnacentral:lncRNA from 1 species
CAAUGUUCUUUUUUUUUUUUGGUUCUUUUUUUCGGAGCUGGGGACCGAACCCAGGGCCUUGCGCUUCCUAGGUAAGCGCUCUACCACUGAGCUAAAUCCCCAGCCCCCAAACAAUGUUCUUAACUACUGGGUCACUUCUCCAGGUCUCCCAGUUGCCCCCCCCCCAUUUAUAUAUCCUGAACUAUCAAUACUAAUAAUAAUCUUAUGGAGACACACAUGAAUGGGUACUUACCUAGCAUGAAAAUGGUUAUAUUACUAUUACUCCAGCAGAGUGGGAAAAUAAAGGUGUCAGUGAACACGCUUCUUUUAAAACUUCGCCCCAUAACCUCACAAGUAGUUUUGGGUUUGGGGGUUACAGACUUCUAACCCAUCUACUGUUACAUUACUAGCUGGAGAGGUUUUAAAUAUCUAUUUACCCCUAGGAGACAAGAGAUGAGUUGCACAGAGUGGCCAGAGAACAACACAGACAGCUCUGUCUCCUGACGGACACUGCAGCUUCACCAGUUGUGGUAGCUCUUUCCUGAUUCAAACCACUCUGGAUAGUCAAACAAUCUACCAUCAUUCAGGAAGCAUGAAUACAUGGUCGGUAGGACUGGUGACAGCUUGGUUGGUAGAAUGCUUGCUGUGAUGGCUUCUGUGGGUUGGUACCUUGACUACAUCUGGAAUUAACUAAAAGCCAAGUGGCUGGGUAUACCUGUGAGAAAUUUUUUUCUUUUAACCCAGAGCUAUGAGGUAGGGCUGUCCAUCUUUAAUUUGGACCACACCUUAUGGCGGCAGCCUAUAUAACGACAUGGAAGAGGCCAUCACUCUUUGCCAGCCUGGUCUCGGUUUUACUGGAUAGUCCUUUCCUUUACUGGCAUUAGAGCCUAUUUCUUCAGGCUUCUGGCACAUACUGAGGAGCAGCUGAGACAUCCAGCCUCAUGAACUUAAGAACUAUUGGAUUCUUGGACUUCCCUUGGUAGACAGCCAUUGUUGGAGAAGGGGACCAU